ensembl:lncRNA
CUAUGAUUGACAGCGGCGCGAGCCAAUAGCGAUAAGCAGGAGGAGGGGCAGCACAUGGCUCGGAGGCCGCGUGGGCGAACGCGCUUUAUUGAUGUGGGGGAGGGGCUGGGGGGGGUCCCCAAACUGAGGGGGAGGCUCAGGAUCGACCCCCCCAAAACCUGAGCAGGGGUUUGAGCGUCCUCACGGCCACAAUCCUGGGGUUUGUCCCCACAUCCUCCUUAGGUGUCCCCCAAAUCCUCCUUAGGUGUCCCCCAAAUCCUUGGGUGUCCCCCAAAUCCUUGGGUGUCCCCCAAUUCCUUGGUGUCCCCAAAUCCUCUUUGAGUGUCCCCAAGUCCUUGGGUGUCCUCAAAUCCUUGAGUGUCCCCAAAUCCUUAGGGGUACCCAAAUCCUUGGUGUCCCCAAAUCCUUGGGUGUCCCCAUUUCCUUGGGUGUCCCCAAAUCCCCUCAGGUGUCCCCAAAUCCUUGGGUGUCCCCAAGUCCUUGGUGUCCCCAAUUUUGGGGGGUGGGUGGGUUGUGUCCACUCACUGUCUUCUCAGUGGGGGUCGUCUCCCCUCAGGACCCUCAGGACAAAGUGUCCCCAAAUCCUUGGGUGUCUUCAUUUCAUUGGUGUCCCCAAAUCCCCUCAGGUGUCCCCAAAUCCUUGGUGUCCCCACUUUUGGGGGGGGUUGUGUCCCCUCAGGACCUUCAGGACAAAGUGUCCCCAAAUCCUUGGGUGUCCCCAUUUGGGGUCCCCAAAUCCCCUCAGGUGUCCCCAAAUCCUUGAGUGUCCCCAAAUCCCUGGUGUCCCCAAAUCCUUGAUGUCCUCAAAUACUUGGUGUCCUCAAAUCUUUGGGUGUCCCCAUUUUUGGGGGCGUUGUGUCCCCUCAGGAACUUCAGAACAAAGCGUCCCCAAAGCCUUGGGUGUCUUCAUUUCAUUGGUGUCCCCAAAUCCCCUCAGGUGUCCCCAAAUCCUUGGGUGUCCCCAAAUCCUUGGUGUCCCCACUUUUGGAGGGGGGUUGUGUCCACUCAGGGGGGGUUCGUGUCCCCUCAGGACCCUCAGGACAAAAUGUCCCCACAGUGUCCCCCAAAUCCUUGGGUGUCCCCAUUUCAUUGGUGUCCCCAAAUCCCCUCAUGUGUCCUCAAAUCCCUGGUGUCCCCACUUUUGGGGGGUUGUGUCCCCUCAGGAGAUUUGUGUCCCCUCAGCACAAAAUGUCCCCACACAGCGUCCCCAUCAUUGUCCCCGCAGCGUUGGAGUGUCCCCGUUGAUCCUCGCAGCGUCCUCUCCGUCACCUCUCCCACCCCAGAUUUCUGGGGUUCCCCUGAAGAAUUUUUGGGGUUCCCCUGAAGAAUUUUGGGGUUCCCGGGUUUUGGGGCUCAGGGCUGCAUCCUCAGGGCCCCGUCCAGCCUCACCACCUCGCCGUUGACCAUGGGGUUCUCGGCCAGGGCCUGCACCAGGUGCGCGAACUCGGCGGGGUCCCCGAGGCGGGACGGGAACGGCACCUGCUGGCCCAGGAAGCGCCGAACCUUCUCUGGGAGCCCGGCCAGGAGAGGGGUGGAGAACAGCCCUGGGA